UACCCUGAGGAUAAAAAAGAACUUGCUGAAAACUGGAUUUCCGAGUAAUGCCCCCAUUAAAGAUGACAAGUGGGGUUCACUGAGGAGGCAUAUGCCUUCAGACUGAAUUUUAAGAAUGACGAUUGUUUUUUAAAGUCGGAGUCAAAUAUCAGUCUUUAAACCAAGUUAAAGUCAAUGCUGCAGCUGCCUUCUGUCUCUGUCACUGCUGUGAAAAAAAUUCAAAAGGCGCAAUCAAACAUUUUUUUUCUAGUGCAUUUUUUAAAACAACUCGAAAUCAACACAAGCACACCAAAUGCAGAGAGCAAAUGUUUUUACCUAUUUAACGUCUCCCUUGCUUAUUAUUAUUAGUAAGAUAAACUAGUCUCAAGAGCAGUAAUGCACUUCGAGAGAAUGUAAAGCAUGAAAGGUAAAAUGAAGUCUUGCAGAGGGAGAGACUUUAAAUCACAUUUAGACAUAAAUCCUUUCGGGUCACAGUCCCAUAGAUUACCAGCAUCUGCUAAACCUAGAUAGUUUAUAAUCACUAAAAUUGUUUUAAUCUUCCUAUGGAAGGCUUACCAGAGAAGUACUGAAUUACACUGGGUUAAUACUUCUAAGGAUGAACAGUCAAGAAAUCGAUGCAUAAAUUAAUGCAGUGGCUACAUAGUAACAUCUAAGGUUUGUAACGUAUCUGAACCAGGCAGCAGUUAUCAAAAGAUAUAGCACUCCAUUAGGGUGAUAUGUUCUCAGCCCCGUAAUCGCCUGGAAAGUUGCCAACCAUUCUUCGCCCUCCCCCACUCCUGCAAUCAUUGCUGACCUGUCAUAUUCUUAACCUUCGAGAAGAGAGGCUAAAGGUUGGGUUUGUAAAAUAGGGAGAAAGCCAUGAAAGCAAAAGCACAGAUACCCCAGUGAGGGAAGACACGAGAACACACUAUCAGUGGUUGGUGUUCUUUGGAUCAAAGCUUCCGGUCAUCUCAGAUGUGGUCUGUCUCAGAGCCUGACUACCUUCCACACCCUGAGUGGGAGCAGUGCAGGGAGCGUUUGGUGCUGGGUGAAAUGUACGUUACGCACCCUGGCAAAAUGUCACCAUGCUGGAUGAGGUCUUGGUUCUGUAGGUAGGCAUUUGAACUUGUGUAAGUGCAUAGGAAUGAACAUUCCCCUCCACUGACUUUCCUGGGACUGAGGGAAGUAUUUCAAUGCCAUAGAGGUAUAAAUCGACAAAUUAUCAAAUAGCUAAGUGAAUUCUUAUUCUACUUUAAGAGGAAUAGCAAUAUAGCAUGUAGUAAGCGGUUGAGUAAAGUGAUUAUGUUCCAUGCAUUCAUGCAUCCGUUAAACAGAAUCUAUCGGUCUGGCUUCUCGUUCCACACCCCCAUCGCCUCUCUCUCAUGUUCCCCGGUCUCUAGGCAGACGCACUGUUUUCUGGACAGUGCGCUAUAUCGCCUCUUAUAUGCCUGUUUCCUUCUGCAUGUGUUCCUGCCCUUGCUGGGGUUCCCCUCGGCUCUCCGUCUCCCUGCUGAGAGCCACUUCUUCAAAAGUUAAUUCAGAAAUCACCCUCUGACCUCUACUUCCCGAUAUCACCCAGAGUUGGAUGCCCCUCUGCUGUGUUGCUUUGGCCUUGUAUUCAUAGUCUCUGGGAGAAAGCACAUGACAUUGGAGUCCAAUGAGUUGUUUCUCUGCAUGCCCAUCUCAGUGAGACCAAGAAAUGUUAUUUUUCUGCUUUUGAUUCUCAUAACAGAGUAUGAUAUGUGGCCCAUACGGGUGAUCGUAUGCAUUGGAUCCGUGAAUUAAUAAUGAACGGGCAGUGUGCCCCUGGUCUGGACGCCGCGGGAGGGGGUAUAAGAAAGAUGCGGUACCGAACACCUGACACCGGCAGGUAAAACAUCUAAAUUACAAAGCUCUGAACUUAAUGGCACCAGUGUGAGGAGGAGUGAGGGUAAAGUUCCAAGGGAAGGUUCGUGGAGAAGGUGAUAUCUAAGGUGGGCUUUGACAGGGGCAUUAAAAUGGGAGAAGGCAGUGGCCUCCUCUUCCUGGUAGGUUCACCAGAAUGUAGACUUUUGGGCAAAGAAGUCAGGACAUGGACUGUCAAGAGAAGGCCAAGAAUGAGUGUGGGCUUUACACUAAGAAGGAGGUUAAAUUCUUCCCAUUCUUCAUUCUAGGCAACAGUGGGCUCUUUUUCCAGUACCCAGUUUUAUGACUCCUUCCUCUGCUCUAGGAGGCUUGCCUCCUUCCACUAAUAACACGUGUAGAUGCUGUCAGUGGUGUUCCUGAGGACUGGGGAUACAUCCAUCUUGCAAAUAUGAUGCGAAAUAAUUUUUUUAGCCAAUUGAGUAUGGAACUCUGCCUCAAAAUACGCAGUAUUCAUCUUAGCCUUGACCUUUCUUUCCUGUUCUUCUUUUACAAUUUUAUGAAAUACAUUCUGGGGUCCCUUUUGGCCUAAAGCUAAAAGCUAGAAAGCAUCCUUGUUGCCUUUUUCAUCCUAGCCUGCAGCUUUUCAGUGUCUGCAGUUGGAAACACCAUCUGAUGAUGGAGGAUAACAAGUCCAAGGGCAAAAAGCAGUGAGCUGAGGCGAGGGAGCAGCCGGCAGAGCGGAGGCGCAGCUGGGCCAAGUUCAGCAGCAGGUGUGGAGGCGGAAGUGCAGGGGGCAGGUGGGCACGUCAGGUGGCGGCAGGGUUCAGUGGGCCAGUCAGCGAACUGCUCACCGAGACAGUCUGUUUCCACCUUUCUGCACCACACCGAGCCAGCCACUGACCAUUUCCUCCCUCAGAUUUGCUCAUCCUCAAAGAGGGAAUCACAAUGUGUCUUCCUCAGAGGAAUGACUGACCAGUGUCUCAUUCGGGAGCCACUAAUAGAAAUGGUCAUGAAGACCUUUGAACACAAGAAACAAAGCACACAAGUAAAAACAACAGGAAGUGGAAGAGAGAGCACUCUGUGACCCGAAAUGUUCUGUGUCAUAUGCCGGUGUCAGAAGGUUAUAAGGCUCCAGUGAGAUGUGUCACUUAGGAGGACGGUAGAGCCCGAGGACCCAGUAACUGUGAACCCGGCACCCUGUUCCGACUUCUCAGGGAGCACGUGCUUCUCCUGGAGCAUUUGUGUCUGCGAGUGCAUUGCCCCAUCCUCAGCCUGUCCCCUUCUCAACUUUGUACAGACAUAAGUGGCUGAUUUGCUCUGCUACACAAAUGACUCAUGCUUUUGUGAGCUCCAAGCAGCAGGUCCUUCAGCAGCUUUUCUUAGCUCUGAGGACAGAAAAGAGGCACCCAGAGGCACAUCUCUUACAGGCCAGGUCUUUUUGAUUUGUGAAGCAAAGACGGGGAGGGAAUGAUCAGACUCUGAGCUCAAUUAUGCAAGAUCAGCUAGAGAGUGAAACACGGAACUGACUUCAAAAGGCACCCGAUUCUUUCAAAAUCUUCAGCCUAUGCUUCCGAAUUGGACCCGAGUUCAAAUUCUCAGUUCUCACGAGCGGUCAAAGCACGUACAUCUGGGGCAUUUCAGUACACGUGGAUGUAAUUAAGAACUUCGGGAGGGAAAGGCAACUGUCUGCAGCUAUGAGCACACAUCAGCUCUCUGACAGCCUCUGGAAUCCAGCCGCCUUUAGAGGGUGGUGUGGGUAGCCAGCCACGGCUUUCAGGACAGAGAUUUCAGCCAAGGAUCUAGAAGCAAGUGUACAGCGUGUUCCAUGUGACUAUGAGCAUGCCUCAUCUGGAAGAGAACUGUACCAGCAGUUCCUGGAGUUUUCUUGGUUAUUUAAACCCUCUGCCUUAAAGCGGAGUUCACGGCUUCUCAGCAUCGGCAGCCGGGUCCCGUUUUGUUGUAUGCUUUCACAGAAAGAAUAAGAAACCAUAGAGGAAAAUGGGAACUAAUGUCUCCACGGAGCGUAUAUCCCUCGUCACAUUUAGUCCUCAUAAGAACCCUGAAGAGUUCGUGCUCUUUUCUCCUUUUUGACAGACUUUUUCAAAACCAAAGCUCAGAAAAGCUCAAUAGAUUGUCUAGGAUCUAGAUACCUAGAAAUGGAAGUGCUGGAAUUAGAAUCCAGGAUUUCUUGACUCAAAAACCUAUGUUUCACCCACAGCUUCAGUUCACCAGAAUAACUUGGGCAUGGCCUCAAAACCUAUGCAGGAAAUGUCUUAAAAAGGAAUCAUUUUUUAUUAUUCAACUAUUCAGCUGUUUAGGUAUUACAUUACUAGAAAUUCUGAGCACCAAUAAUCAAAUGAAGGAGAAAUACCUUCACUAUCCACGCAUACACACACACACAAUUUAUUUGUAUGUAUAUAUUUUUAAAAUUGUCUCUGUUUCAGGACUGGGAAUGAGCAUAAUUAGAAUUCGCUGUUGGACUUGUGUCCACUUGAACCUGAUCUAUUUUGUCUAACGUUUCUUUGCAAAGCUCUCGAAUGCAUUGUUAGCCUAUCUGAUCCUGUCGUCUAGAGACCACAAAGUAUUUCACAUCUUACCCAGGGAACCGAUCCCUUAAGGAAGAGAGGGCAUUCUUCACUGACAUUUCCUAAUUUAAAUCCAUUGAAUGUUGUUUCAACUGCCAUUUUAAGGGCAAAGUAAAAGCAAUGCGUCCGUAAAGAACUCUGUCACUUUUCUCCACGUGAUGACUAACAGUGGAGAACUUAAAACCUUAUCCUUGGUAUCUUUUGGAGUCCAGACAAUUCAACGCUCUCUUGGGAUGAGUAAAUAUCAGCCUGUUCCCAGGAAGAUUAACUAGUAAGAUGAUGGAGGAAAAGCUGCUUCUUUUUAGAGAGCUACACUUAAAUUGGCCUCUAUACGUCGUCUUAAGACAGAACCUCGGAUGAUUCAUUUCCCUGGUGCUAUGAUUUCUAGAAAGAAAAGAUAUUUUAUACAGUUUUAAGAGUAAUGGUAGUUUCUUUCCAAGGUGUUAAUUUUAGUUCCAAAGUUAAGGUUUGUUAAUGUAAUAUAUUUACUGGCUUUUAAAAGGCCUUAAAGGAGAGUAGAAUUAGCAGACCUGUGCUUCAGGGGACCCCAUUUCUGGCCUAUACUUGUAGGCAGAUCCUCAAUUUCUUUACCUGUUGUGGGGGUGGCAACUCUGAUCCAGCGUCCUUCCUAGCUUCACAUAUAAAGGGUAAUAAAAAAUGAAGAAUAUUUAAGUACUUUGGAAGUUUUGAGAUUCUCAGUGGGAAACAAAGCUUGAGUUUUGUGGAUAGAAAGCCCCAAACUGGGAAUUCAGCUCUGCUACCUAUCACCUGUCUGGGAAAACUUCCUUAACUCCGUGCAUCUUGAUUACCUCAUCUGUAAAGUGGGCCCAAAUUAGUUCCUACCACGGGGGAAGCUGUGAGGAGCAAAGGGGCUACUGACCCUAAUCAGAACAUAAAGAAAUUAGGGCCCCAGCUGGAAGUGACUUACCUAAGUUCACCCAUCCACAAAGACUUACUGUGCUCUACCAAGCCGUGCGUUUGGAGGGGUUCCUGAGCUAUGUUGCUUCAGUUAGCAUGUGGCCUCAGCUGGUAGGGACACCCCCUCUCAAAACUGAGACCUGUUUUUUUGCUCCUUUGUGUUGGCAGGAGCAGUCCGAUCGCUGACUCUUUCUUGUUUAUGGGCUGAUGACUCAUUUAUAAGUUAUCUAAGCCUCCCGUUCUUCCUCUCUUGCUCUCCUCUGCCAUCUCUGCUCAUGGGAACAUAUUCUUUCUGCUAGCACUUCUCCUGGAGAUUGUGAAAGAGUGGCGAGCAACAACAUAUUUUGCUAGAUCCUCGUUGCCUACAGAAGAGUUCUGCAUAAACUUCACUGCCUGCAGAGGAACCACAUACACACAGACGCACCCUCGAUUAGAACUCCAACCUCCUUCCAACCUCUCUCCACAAGGCAAGAAUAAAAGAAGAAAUCAUCUGCAUUCUUUGACUUUCUGUUUAAAGGGGACAAGAUGAUAUGGAUUACCUGAUAACUCUACAUCUUUUGGCAAUUUCAGCCGCCCUGCAAUAAAAACUUUUCAGCAAAAUUCUUUACUUUUCUCCUGUCUUAAUACUCAUCAAUCACUAUGGUUAUCCAUUUUGCCUGAAAUAAGCUGAUUUUUAAUGACAUUUAAGCUACGUUGUUUUCUGUGUUCACAAACCAUUUGGAAAAGACUAAGGGUAAGAUUAAGUCAUAAAAACCUUUAUAGCUUAAUCUGCUCGAUAAUGAAUAUUAGUUCCAUCAAAACACAAAUUAAGGCAAGUAUUUAGAACCAACAAAUUCAUAAAAGGUACUUUAUUGCUAACGAUAUCAAUUUUUCUAUAAGCGUAUAAAUAAACCUUCCUUCUUCUUAAAUGCGUAACAAUCUUCUGCUGAAGGCUCACAUGGAAAACAUGAACAAAACAGCCGAUCAAAAACAAAAUGCAGCUUUCUUUUCUGCUAGAGAUCAAGACCUCAGUGUUGGGCUGUUUAGGGUUCUCCUAGUAAGGCAACCUUUACCCAUCAGCUUCUAGGUUAGAAGAUGAGAAUGCAGCCUCUCAGGGGCAGUGACUUGGGGGGGCAGCUCCAAAAGUAGUCAUCCAGCUUUCCAAGGAAAUUCAACCUGUGAGCCACCGCAAGUGUCAGAGGCUCUAGUUUAGGCAACAUCAAUUUUAUACUUUUACUCAUUACCAGUUCUUCACCAGCCUGGCCCUUGGACACAGAGUGUAGGUUAAUAAAAGUUGGUAAAACUGAAUUAAACUUAUGGGGUGCCUGGGUGGCUCAGUCAGUUAAGUGUCUGCCUUCGGUUCAGGUCCUGAUCUUGGGGUCUGGGAUCGAGCUCCGGGUUAGUCUCUGUGCUGAAUGCAGAGCCCACUUCUCCCUCUCCCUCUGCCUUCUGUGCGUGUGUGCACGCUCUCUCUCUCUGUCAAACAAAUAAAUAAAAUCUUUAAAAAAAAAUCUUAAUUAAACUUAGCAUGAACCACAUGAAGGGACUGACCGUGUCUAAUUUAUAUUUGUAUCCCAAAUUCUGUGCCUGAAAUAUACGAGACACUAAACACUAGACACUAAAUGUAUGUUUAAAGAUGAAGCAAUUACAGCAUAUGUACUGUGUACCGGCAAUCCUGGUAAGGCCUUGAGAAUGGUCCCUGGAAGUUCACACUCGGUCCCGUAGAACUGAGUGAAUGAAAUACAUUGGUGGGUUUGUUGUGUUAAAGUAUAGUUGACCUGUGAAUAGUGCGAGAGCCUUAGGGGCCCUGAUGCCCUGCACAGUCAAAAAUUCAUGUACAACUUUUGACUCCCCAAAAACUUGACUAAUAGCCAGCCCUCUGUUGACCAGAAUACUGACUGAUAACCUAAACGUCGAUGGACAUGUAUUUUGUAUACGAUAUGUAUUAUGCACUGUAUUUUUACAGUGAAAUAAGCUGGAGGGAAAAAAUGUUAUUAAGAAACUCAGAAGGGAGAGAAAAUGCAUUUAUGGUAUUUUUCUGUAUUUAUUAAAAAAAAAAAAAAAGGUCUGCAUAUAAGUGGACCCUCGCAGUCCACAUUUGUGUAACUCAGGGGUCAAGUACUCAGAGAACUCUGAAUAAUUGUUACCACCAAAACAAUAAAUGGCAACAAUUAGGUCACUACAGUAAUUGCUCGAGGAACAAUUCACAGAUUGGAGCGUUCAAUUUUGUGGCAACCAUAUGGUUAUGCAUUUCACCAUGUUGACAUCAUACUGUAAAAUUCACACAUUAUAUAAAAAGAAAUCACACCAGGAAAGUACAGGCUACCACAAAUAGUAGAGAGAAAAACACAUUACUGAAGUUUACUGCUUAGUAACAGAUUUAAGGAUUUGAGCUUCUGAUUCUUAAGAAUUUAAUUGAUGCCAGUUUUGACAGGCCCUCUAAUCAGUGUAAGAAGAACGAAGGGUAAAAAAAAUGAAAUAUAGUAGACCCAUGAUGGGAGAGGAGAGUAACAGAUUCCAUUAGGCGCCGCUAACAUGACCUCUAACACACAGAGACUCUGAUGCCCACUGUGGCAGGGAUCCCGGAGACCUGGGUCCUUGUUCUCUCUCUGCUGUGAACUUAAACACAUUUCCUCCCCUAUAACUCAAAGGCACUGAACUAUUUCUGAUAGUUGUGGUUAAAACACACACACACACACACACACAUAUCUAGGGUCUUUGCCGAGACCUCUUAAUGCAUAUGCUUUUAUCUUUAUAAACAUAUCAGUAGAAUUACAGCCCCAUAAUUUAGUGACCUCUUUAUCCUGAAUAUAAUUAACUCAAAAGUGUAGGUAAGACUAUGUCAGCAAUUCCUUAAUACUGUCCCUUUCCAAAGGAUCUCUCCUCCUCAACCUCCUUUAUUUUUGUAACAUAUUCUCAUAUUUCUGUUACAGAACUUGCCUGGAGCAAUGUAUUUUACUUAGUGUGUUUGUAUGUCUCUUGUCCACACUAGACUCUGAGUUCCUUGAGGGCAAACACCAUGACUUCUCUUCUCUUUUUAGAGUCCUCACAUAGUACAGGGAUUGGCUAGUAGGAGCUCAAUGAAUACUGAAUGAAUAUUUAAUCAACUUGGUUGGGCAAUAGCAUAUUUCGUGUGUGUGUCAGAUACUUUCCACUUGCCCCUGUGGAUCCAUCUCCACCCUUUUCCAGCCUGCUCUGGCCAGAAAGUUGUUGCUCCUUACAAAACAGCCUGCUGUUGACGACUCUCUCCUUGCUUCCAGAAACUUCUUUCUUCUCUGGGCCUCCAGGCUUAAGUAUAGUGACAGUGUCUUUGCUAGUAUCCCGGGGUUCCUGCUCUAUCAUUUGGGACUCCCUACUCCCUACUCACACCUGGAUGAUUACUCCACAGCCACUCCUCAAAUUAUCCUAAUUGGAGUGUACCACCUAUUUCCUGUCAAGACCUUCACUGAUAUAGUGGAUAAGAAAAGAAGAUUUCAAUUGACAGUGUGUUUUUGAACUCAGAUUAUUAAGAAUGAUCAGACUGAAUUUUUUGGUAAAUGUCUCAACAAAUACAUCUUUAUAUAGGCUAAGUAUUUUUAUAUGUGGCUCACCAUCAUUGAUUCACCCAUUCCUAAGUAUGAUGUUACAGAUUCAUUUCAUUGUCUAUACCACAAAAGCAUUUUUGCAUUUGAGUUAGUCAUUUACUUAUGUUUACAUUUGGUCAUUGAUGUCUAAAUGUAUUUCUCUGUGAAUUGGGACCUAUUCCCCUGGAAUACAGUGCCUCAAGGGAAAGAGUGCCAUCUUUUUUAGCUAGCAGCCUUAUGGCUGACUGACCUCUGAGGAAAAAAAAAAAAUCUGGAUAUCUAUAAAUUAUGAAUAUGGCCUAUUAAGUAUAGAGUCAGAUCUGUCAGCAAACAUUUUGUACAUUUUUAGGUUGAAUCUGAUGGGACUUGUUACAUUCUUUUCUAGAAGCAGCAAUUCUUAAGGAAGUAUAUAACCAGUUGAUUAGUGUAUUCAUGGUCAAGUAAUCUGAAGAACUAUUAAAAUUUCCACUUUUUAGAGAGUAUUAAACAUAUUAGUGCAGGCAGUGGUCUAAUGCCAUGCCUUUAUCAUUGAUAGGUAAACACCAUGAAGUCAGAGACUUCUUUUUUUUUUUUUUUUUAAGAUUUUAUUUCUUUAUUUGAGAAAGAUAGAGUUAGAGAGAGGGUGAGAGCGGGUUGAAGAGCAAAGGGAGAAGCAGAAUCCCCCGUGAGCAGGAAAUCUGAUGUGGGGACUCAAUCCUGAGACUCUGAGACAUGAUCUGAGCUGAAGGCAGAUGCUUAACUGACUGACCCACACAGGCGCCCCAUCAGAGACUUUCCAUUUUGUGUUCUGCUGAAUCCCCAGUGCCUAAAACAAAGCCUGGCAUCUAGUAAGUGUUCAGUAAAUAUUUGUUGAUUAAAUGUUAUUAGAAUUUGGAUAUAUUACUGAAGAGUCUUUUGUGGUUUUGACUAUAUUGUCAUUUAUAAGUGAGAAAAAAGAUGACAUAGGUUCAUAUUUUCAACAGAUAUGUAUCACAUUCUUACCUUAGCCAAAACACUGCAUUCAAUGUGUCCUUUGGGAGCACACAUUCUAUAGGUAAAAAGUACUCUCCUGAACACAUUAGUCAUUGGUGGACCCCAUCUCAAAUGGCUUCUCUUCUGGAUCAAAAUAUUUUUGCUCAAAGCAAGCUUUUACCUCCACUCUCCCAAUCUCUGAUUUUUUUUUUUUUUUGCCAGCUUUGCAGAAAUAUAUUGAAGCAAUUAGCACUUUCCUAAAGAGUGUCUGAUUCUAUUCUGGGAUUCCAUGGCUGGUGACCAUGUUGUGCCUUUUCAUGUGUAUUUGAUUACACCAAUAAAACUGCUGGAAAGCUAUUCCCUCUUGUUUGAUUUUUUUUUUUUUUCUAUCUCAUCCACAAUGGGGAAGACAGAAUCUUCCUCCUUGUCUAUGAUUUUUUUAAAGAUUUUAUUUAUUUGACAGAGAGAGAAAGAGAGAGGGAACACAAGCAGGGGGAGUGGGAGAGGAAGAAGCAGGCUUCCCCCUGAGCAGGGAGACCAAUGCUGGGCUCAAACCCAGGACCCUGGGAUCAUGACCUGAGCUGAAGGCAGACGCUUAUGACUGAGUCACCCAGGUGCCCCUUGUCUAUGAUUUCAAUGAAGCCAUGGUUCCAUUAAAGACUUCCCCAAGUCCUUUAAUUUGGUUUUCUUGUUACUGCAGUUGAACUCUACAGGAUUUUAUCUUCAUAGACAUUUUGAUUUAUUCACAAACACUUUUUACUUAUUUGACUAUAAGUAGGUCCUUGAUGUGAGUCAUUCUCAGGGAAUAAUCCUAAUGGUCCAGAAUUUGGAACAUACAGAGUAAGACUCCAGACUUAGGGCAAUUAAUUGUUCCUUAUUCUAAAUAGACUUCUAGAGGAUACAGAGUUUUUGAGGGAAUGGCACAUGGCAAGAUAGUGUUGUAAUUGGGAAACUCACAUUCCCUUCUGGCAAUUAAACUUCCUACUUCUCUUCCUCCCCUCCCCCUGUCCUCCUGCUCUUUCUCCUUUUU